rnacentral:tRNA from 1 species
GGAGAAAUGGCAGAGCGGUCUAAUGCGGCGGUCUUGAAAACCGUUGUCCCGCCAUCGCGGGACCGGGGGUUCGAAUCCCUCUUUCUCCGCCA